CUAGCGACUUCAGAGUUUGAUCCUGGCUCAGGAUUAACGCUGGCGGCAUGCCUAAUACAUGCAAGUCGAAUGCCUGUAGCAAUACAGAAACAUGGCGAACGGGUGAGUAAUACAUAAGUAACCUGCCCUGAUGAGGGGGAUAACGUUUAGAAAUGAACGCUAAUACCGCAUAAUCCAAUUUGGAAGAGAUUCUAGAUAGGGAAAGGAUCGCAAGAUCGCAUUAGGAUGGGCUUGUGGCGCAUUAGCUAGUUGGUGGGGUAAAGGCCUACCAAGGCAACGAUGCGUAGCCGACCUGAGAGGGUGAACGGCCACACUGGGACUGAGACACGGCCCAG
rnacentral:rRNA from 1 species